ensembl:lncRNA
UGCUGCGGUUAUGGCUUAUAAAAAGCCAAGCAUCUCAAGAAGCACGCUGGGUUGCAAAACAAAUCAGUGUUUCAUGUGCUUUUUCAGUAGAAAGAGAGGUCUGUACUGCGGGGAGGCUUCAAGUGUGGAACAAUUAUAGAUCUCUGGGUUAUUCUUAGCGGCGCUCCCCUUGUGUUCACUCAGGCUGCUGGUUCGAGCACAGCAAGACAUCUGCUGACCAGGGAACGGGUUCCAGGAUCUCGGGGUUUACAGCAUCAGACAUGAGUAAGUGUCACAGUGAGCUGACGCAGCAGGAGCAGGAACUGUUGAAAAUCCGGCGGGACAGUGACACAAAGGCGGCUGAGCUUGCCAAGAUGGAGAAAAUGCUGCAGCAGACCAAGAGCCUGAUGGAUAAGAAGACUGAGUCUGGUUCAGAGAGUAUGGGCUUCCAGGAGAACUUAGUGGAGGACCUGGAGGAAAAAGUGAGGUCCAGCCGGCGCUACAGGAGAAACUCUCUUCAUCACACGCAGAUGCUGGAGAGCCAGAUGAAAACGGUGAAGGGAGAGCUGGUGGGCACUCUGGAUCACCUGCAAGAGCUGAGGAACGUCCUGAGGCGUUCGCAGCAGAAAGCAGAAGAACGCAAAGCUGCAAUGGAGAAGCUAGCAGCAGGGCUCAGAUGAACCGCCUUCAACACACCUAAUGCCUGCAAGUCUACACAUGUAUGACAGAAGAGCCCAUAGAAACCUCUGUCCAAGAAAACAACCUUUUACUUUUGGAGUUUUUAAUGACUACAAACAAAAAUGUUGCAGAUCCUCCUGCAUGUAUUCAUGCAUAUGAGCUUUUUUAUUUUCAGUAUCUUAAAUAUUGUUCAAAGAUAAUUGCUGGAUUGUGUCAGAAACACAAUAAAUUUGGACAAAUGUUGGAAUUAACUUUCAGCUGUGGAGAACUGUGAGCUCUGUGAUAAAGAUCUGUGGAUUCUGGUUAUGAAACACCCUCGUAAACCGUGUUGUGACAGCAUGUGAACGCUCGGGAACAUUUCUUGAAUCAUUCUGGUUUGAUGUGCUCAUGAGAGUAGCUUUAUCUGUAAUGGCAUCACAUCAGAAAUAUCAAGAAUGGGAGUUUAUAGGGAGACAGAAAAGGUUGGUCUGAGUGUAUUUAGCUAAGAACAAAGUCUGAAAGGUUGAAGGAAAAAAUGCUUUUUUUUCCAAAAGAAGUUUAGGUUGUUGUCCAAAACAGAAUAAUUAAAUAGUAACUUCCUAUUUGUUGGAUCAAUAAAGUGCUAUUCUAUUCUAUUCUAUUCUAUUCUAUUCUAUUCUAUUCUAUUCUAUUCUAUUCUAUUCUAUUCUAUUCUAUUCUAUUCUAUUCUAAAAUGCAACAGAGUAGUUAAAGUAUUGACAUUUUGAACUAAUAUAAUAAAGAAGAUUAAUCAAUGGAAACCUAAACCGUCUUUGUAAAAAGUGUGAUUUAAUCGUAGACUAAAAAUUAAGAAGAGCUGGAUCGGCUCUAAUAAUGAGAGUCAGAUCUUUCCAUAAUGUGGGUGCAGGAAUUUAAAAAGUUCCAUCAUCUCAGGAUUCAAGUCUGCAGGUUGGAAACUUCAGAAGAAGCCAGUUUCCCUGGAACACAUACUGUAGAUGCAAAAACUGAUAAAUAUAAUAGAUCUCAAGCCACCUAAAGGUUUUAAAACAAUUGAUAACAUCUUGAAUUGGAUCUAAAAUAAACAGUGUCUAAACUAGCUGUGGUCCCAGCUCUCUUCAGGUCAUGGAUCAGUUCCCUCAUUUAGUUCUGGUUGUUUCUCAGUUGCUCUCAACAUCCUUUAACCCCAACAGGUGGGAUUUUGCAUGGAGCUCCAGGUGGAGGGAAAUUGUCUUGUUUUUUUUUUCAAUUUUCUAAUAACUGAUCCAACAAUUGAUCUCUUCUCUCCAAACUACCUGCUUAUUGUAGAUUGGUUUAUGCCAGUCUUGAUCAGGUGAGCAAUUUUGUCCCUGGCGUCCUUCGACAGCUCUUUGGUCGAAGUGGAAAGGUUGCAGUCUGACUGUUUAAAGGUGUGUACAGGUGGAUUUUGUAGGGAUAAGAGUACAUAAGGGUGCCAUUGAUACAGGUGACAAAUAAAGACGAAGAAAGAACACGAGGAACAGAAUUUGUGCUUGUUUGUAGGAAUUGAACACUUAUUUUCUGUACCAUUAUACAAAUAAACUCUUUUAAAUUCAAAC